rnacentral:lncRNA from 1 species
GCUGCUGGCUGGGGCACAGCACCACCUUUUAGGGGUUUUUUAGGGGCACAUCAGCCUACCCACCAUCCCUUCCCUGCUCUCAUCCAGGGGUUAUUCCGAGCAGCACGGCCGACGUUUCACUGCCGUGAUUCCCACCAACGUCUUCGGGCCACACGACAACUUCAACAUUGAGGACGGCCAUGUCCUGCCUGGGCUCAUCCACAAGGUCUACCUGGCCAAACGUGAGGGUGGCAGGACUUCCAGGGAUUUUUUGGGGGAGAAAUGAGGGGUUUUUCUUUCCCACCUGCUCUGUGGGGUGGUUAGAGGUGGCUCUGGUGGUCAUGGCUCCUUCCUCCUGCAGAGUCCGGCUCUGCUCUGACCGUCUGGGGAACGGGCAAGCCCAGGAGACAGUUCAUCUAUUCCCUGGACCUGGCCCGACUUUUCCUUUGGGUCCUGCGGGAAUACGAUGAGGUGGAACCAAUCAUUUUGUCAGUGGGAGAAGAAGAUGAAGUCUCCAUCCGGGAAGCGGCAGAGGCCAUUGCGGAGGCCAUGGAAUUCAGGGGAGAGCUCGUUUUUGACACCACCAAGUCAGAUGGGCAGUUCAAGAAGACGGCCAGCAAUGCCAAGCUCCGGCGGUACCUGCCCGGAUUCCAGUUCACACCUUUCAGGAAAGGUGAGAUGGGAGAGUCUCCAGGAGACACCAGGGGUCCUACCCCAUGCCAUCAGCCUUGGUGGCAUCAAGGUGGUCCACCCUUUCCCGAUGAAGAAUGAGGGU